rnacentral:rRNA from 1 species
GACGAACGCUGGCGGCGUGCUUAACACAUGCAAGUCGAGCGAUGAAGUUCCUUCGGGAAUGGAUUAGCGGCGGACGGGUGAGUAACACGUGGGUAACCUGCCUCAUAGAGGGGAAUAGCCUUUCGAAAGGAAGAUUAAUACCGCAUAAGAUUGUAGUAUCGCAUGAUACAGCAAUUAAAGGAGUAAUCCGCUAUGAGAUGGACCCGCGUCGCAUUAGCUAGUUGGUGAGGUAACGGCUCACCAAGGCGACGAUGCGUAGCCGACCUGAGAGGGUGAUCGGCCACAUUGGGACUGAGACACGGACCAGACUCCUACGGGAGGCAGCAGUGGGGAAUAUUGCACAAUGGGGGAAACCCUGAUGCAGCAACGCCGCGUGAGUGAUGACGGUCUUCGGAUUGUAAAGCUCUGUCUUCAGGGACGAUAAUGACGGUACCUGAGGAGGAAGCCACGGCUAACUACGUGCCAGCCGCCGCGGUAA